UACGUAGGUGGCAAGCGUUGUCCGGAUUUACUGGGCGUAAAGAGCGCGCAGGCGGUCGAGUAAGUCGAAUGUGAAAGCCCCCGGCUUAACUGGGGAGGGUCAUUCGAUACUGUUUGACUUGAAGGCAGGAGAGGGCAGCAGAAUUCCUGGUGUAGCGGUGAAAUGCGUAGAUAUCAGGAGGAAUACCGGUGGCGAAAGCGACUCUCUGGACGGCAACUGACGCUGAGGCACGAAAGCGUGGGGAGCGAACAGG
rnacentral:rRNA from 1 species